UGGGGAAUAUUGCACAAUGGGCGAAAGCCUGAUGCAGCAACGCCGCGUGAGUGAUGAAGGCCUUUGGGUUGUAAAGCUCUGUUGCUUUGGGACGAUAAUGACGGUACCAAAGGAGGAAGCCACGGCUAACUACGUGCCAGCAGCCGCGGUAAUACGUAGGUGGCAAGCGUUGUCCGGAUUUACUGGGCGUAAAGGAUGCGUAGGCGGAUUUUUAAGUGAGAUGUGAAAUACCCGGGCUUAACUUGGGUGCUGCAUUUCAAACUGGGAAUCUAGAGUGCGGGAGAGGAGAAUGGAAUUCCUAGUGUAGCGGUGAAAUGCGUAGAGAUUAGGAAGAACACCAGUGGCGAAGGCGAUUCUCUGGACCGUAACUGACGCUGAGGCAUGAAAGCGUGGGUAGCAAACAGGAUUAGAUACCCUGGUAGUCCACGCCGUAAACGAUGAGUACUAGGUGUAGGAGGUAUCGACCCCUUCUGUGCCGCAGUUAACACAAUAAGUACUCCGCCUGGGAAGUACGAUCGCAAGAUUAAAACUCAAAUGAA
rnacentral:rRNA from 1 species